UUGUUGUUCCUGUGACAGUGCAGUAUAAAUGAUCAGCCCCGUACUGUCACUGUCACUUGUCAAUGUGUCACUGUCCCUCAUGUGUGAGUGUGUCAGGCAAGGGAAUGCCACGCCACCUUUACUUUGUUAGAGGUGGUAUUAGGUAAUGAGGUUGGGUUUCUAUACCACUUAACCCUUUCAGUACUAAGACACAUUUUUAUCAUGAGGUUUGGGUACGAUUCGAUGAUUUUAUUUACAUGAGGAAGGGUUUAUGGAGGUCAGAGGAUAUUGGCCAGUCUUCGCUAUUUUAGUCCCUUCAAUAUGUGGAUGCAUUUUUACUUUGAGAUUUAAUUUAGGGAUGGUAAGGAAACCGGUGUAGGUGCAGGAGUGGUUCAUACCUUGACAUACUGUGGCUGGAGAGUGUAUGUCUGCAGAGUAGUGGUGCAGUUGCCAAGGGUCCUAUUCUGGUGCCUAAGGGUGCAUUUAUACCAAGCGAAUAAAAUCAAUUCAAUUUAUGAAGAAUCAACACGAUUCAUGAACAUGGAGGGAUGGAGGGAAGCAUGGAGGAGGACAACACUCAGAAUCAGAAUACUAAUCGCUGGGUGGUGAGCUGUGCUACUCUGUGCUCUUCUGCUUCUGGGAUGGAGACGGUGCUGCGGAGGGUCAUCAUGAUCUGGAUGGCCACAAUGUACACAGACCAGGCACUGAAAGACUUGCUGAAGGUGCCUUGGCCGGCCUACCUGCCUGCGGUGCACCUGGACAGCAAGUGGGAGGUGAAGUAUGACCUGCCCACCACACACGCCAUGGUGGGACAGUCAUGCCCCUCUCCAUCUUCAUCCUCUCUCUCUCUCAAAAGAUACCAGAUUGUGUUAAGAUAUGGAGAAACAUAGACCAAGGCAACAGGAGGAAGAGGAGGAGGAGGAAGAGGUAACAGAAGAUAAGAAGAGGAAGAGAAGAAAGAAGGAAAGAACUCCCUGGACUGUGACCUCACUGUGACCCGAAAGGAAAUGUUCACUCAACACUGGUUUCCUUCCUUGUGCAGAUUGCACAAAUAAACUGCCAGAAAUACAAGAAAAGCAAGGAAGACAAACAUUGCAGAGGUGUCAGCCAGUCAAUCAGUCAGCCAACCAGCUAGCCAGCCAGUCACUGAGGAAAGUCAAGUCAAGAAUCAAUGAAUGCUGCUAAGGAGACAUACUGCUGCCAGGAACACUGCGCCACCAAGCCAAGCCAAGCAACAAACCUUCAACAACAUCUGGAACCAUCAACAACACCCACAGACCUGGAGCAUUGAAGAACAGUUAGGUUAGGUUAGGUUAGGCAGUUUGGCAUGUUUUUUAGGGCAUUUUAAGACCAUUGGACAUGUUUUUGAGGGCAUUUUAAGACCAUUUGGCAUGUUUUUUUAGGGAAUUCCAAGACAGUUUGCCAUGUUUUUGAGAGCAUUUUUAGACAGUUUGGCACUUGAAAAGAAUUUGGCUGUGAUGAUACCAUUUUAUUGACAUUAGGAAGGGUGUAUGGAGGCCACAGUUGUCACUAUUUUAAUCCUCCACAUGAUUUUGUGAAGCAAAUGUUGGAUUCUUAGGACAAAAAUCCAGUAAGCUUGUUAACAGAUUCACUCAAUGCGCACCCACUCAUUCACUUACUGAGCUUAGAGGGAACGAAGAAUGUGCAUUGAAGUAAAUAUUGCUGCUUAUGUGUCAGACAAAGGCCUGUAUUCACAAACACUUUGCUUUCUCACCAUGACUGUUUUCCAAGGCCACAGAGAUGACUGGCGGGGUUUUCAAGAAUGUUUCUCCAAUUAAUAAUGUAGAAAUCUUGUCAUUUUGCCUCUAGAACCAUAAAAACACCCUUAAAAUACUUUAUUCCCUCACCAUGACUGUUUUCCAAGGCCAAAGAGAUGACUGGCAGGGUUUUCAAGAGUGUUUCUCCAGUUAAUUAAGCAGAAAUCUUGUCAAUCUGCCUCUAGAACAGUAAAAACACUCUUAAAAACACAUUAUUCUCUUUCCAUGGCUGUUUUAAAAGGCCAUAAAGAUGACUGCUAGGAUUUUCAAGAGUGUUUCUCCAAUUAAUAAUGCAGAAAUCUUGUCAUUCUGUCCCUAGAACCAUAAACACUUGCUUAAAAAUGCUUUAUUCCCUCACCACAACUGUUUUCCAAGGUCAUAGAGAUGCCUGGCAUGAUUUUCAAGUGUUUCUCCAGUUAAUAAUGUAGAAUUCUUGUCACUCUGCCUCUAGAACUGUAAAAACACUCUUGAAAAACACUUUAUUCUCCCAUCAUGACUGUUUUCCAAGGUCACAAGAGAUGAUUGACAGGGUUUCUCCAGUUAAUAAUGUAGAAUUCUUGUCAAUCUGCCUCUAGAACCAUAAAAACUCUUAAAACACUUUAUUCUCCCAUCAUAACUGUUUUCCAAGGCCACAGAGAUGACUGGCAGGGUUUUCAAGAGUGUUUCUUUAGUUGAUAAUGCAGAAAUGUUGUCACUGUACCUCUAAAACUGUAAAAACACCCUUAAAAAUCUUAUGUAAUCAUAGAUAAAGCCUUUUGAAAUAGUGGAGGUGAAGCACAGCAAAGUUUGAGAAUACAAGCCAAUGUCUUGUGAUGGAGUGAAAGUAUUGGCUUUUGUCAUCUCAGAAGACAUCAUAUAAAUACUGAAUUUGUGUGAGUGUGUUUAAAAUGUAUUAUCAUGUAUAUUUUUACUGUUUGAUUGUUUAUUUAUAUUUCUCUCUUCAAACAUAAUCUUUGAAUAUGUUUUAAGUUGAUAACAAAAAUUUGUUAAGUUGAUAAAUUGUUUAAAAAUAUUUUGUGAAGUUGAAAAUUUUUAUAAUUUUAGGAAGUUGAAAAUUUGUGUAGGCUUUUUAUGCAAAUUGAAAAUUUGUGUAGACUUUUUAUA